CCGUUUUUAUUGUUUUAUAGAAUUUUUUAAAUACAUUUUUAAUAAACUAUUAAUUUAGAGGAAAAAUAUUUUGUAAAUCCUUGUUUAAUGGACUACUCUGAUUUUUUCUCUUUUAAAAAACCUGAACCUGAAAUAUUAUCACCAAAGACUAAAUCAAUUCUGAGAGUGGGUUCUUACUUUACGUUAAUUUAUUUAUUUAUUAAAUAUGGCCAUAUUUUAGAAAUGCCAGAGAAUCCCAACUAUUCAUAAAAUGUAUAGGAAAGUUAUCAUUUAUUGUAAAAGAUAGACCCACUUAUUUCUGUAAACAUGAUGUAUUUAGCAAGUCAAAAUAAUGUUAUUCAUUAAUACUUCCCAAGUAGGAGUUAUUCAACUUUUUAACUCUCUUAAAACGAUUGAUCAUAUAUAACCACCUAAUGUUUUUACUUUAAAUGGAGCAUUUAUUUUAAUUUAUUAUUAUUUUCACAUACUUUCAUUUCUAUUAUCAAUAUAUUAAAGUUUUACAUUUAAAUUAACGGUUUGACGAAAUUUUAAUUCAUAAACAAUUUUAGCUCACUAUAUUUAUAUUUAUAAGUAAUACUAUUCUAAAUUUGUUCUACAUUGCUC
rnacentral:lncRNA from 1 species